GACGAACGCUGGCGGCGUGCUUAACACAUGCAAGUCGAACGGAAAGACCCUGCUUUUGUGGGGUGCUCGAGUGGCGAACGGGUGAGUAACACGUGAGUAACCUGCCCCUGACUUUGGGAUAACUUCAGGAAACUGGGGCUAAUACCGGAUAGGAGCUCCUGCUGCACGGUGGGGGUUGGAAAGUUUCGGCGGUUGGGGAUGGACUCGCGGCUUAUCAGCUUGUUGGGGGGGUAGUGGAUUACCAAGGCUUUGACGGGUAGCCGGCCUGAGAGGGUAACCGGCGUCAGUGGGCCUGAGAUACGGCCCAGACGCCUACGGGAGGCAGCAGUGGGGAAUAUUGCACAAUGGGCGGAAGCCUGAUGCAGAAACGCCGCGUGCGUGAUGACGGCCUUCGGGUUGUAAACCGCUUUCGCCUGUGACGAAGCGUGAGUGACGGUACUGGGUAAAGAAGCACCGGCUAACUACGUG
rnacentral:rRNA from 1 species